ensembl:lncRNA
AGGUAUAGACUAACAGUGAAAUGUUUACUAACAGGCCCUUCCCAACAAUACAGAGACAAACAACAGGUAUAGACUAACAGUGAAAUGUUUACAGGCCCUUCCCAACAAUGCAGAGACAAACAACAGGUAUAGACUAACAGUGAAAUGUUUACUAACAGGCCCUUCCCAACAAUGCAGAGACAAACAACAGGUAUAGACUAACAGUGAAAUGUUUACUAACAGACCCUUCCCAACAAUGCAGAGCGAAAGAAAAUAGAGAAAUAAUAGAAAAGUAAAAAUCCUAUGAAUUAAUAAAUAAAUACACCAUGAGUAAAGAGAAAUAAAGAUAAUUAAAUACACGGGCUAACAGUACCCAGUCGAUGUGCAGGGGUACAAGGUCAUCGAGGUAGAUAUGUACAGUUGCUGUUGGAAGUUUACAUACACCUUAGCCAAAUACAUUUUAACUCAGUUUUUCACAAUUCCUGACAUUUAAUCCUAGUAAAAAUUCCCUGUUUUAGGUCAGUUAGGAUCACUACUUCAUUUUAAGAAUGUGAAACGUCAGAAUAAUAGUAGAGAGAAUGAUUUCUUUCAGCUUUUAUUUCUUUCAUCACAUUCCCAGUGGGUCAGAAGUUUACAUACACUCAAUUAGUAUUUGGUAGCAUUGCCUUUAUUAACUUGGGUCAAACGUUUCGUGUAGCCAUCCACAAGUUUCCUACAAUAAGUUGGGUGAAUUUUGGCCCAUUCCUCCUGACAGAGCUGGUGUUAACUGAGUCAGGUUUAUAGGCCUCUUUGCUCACGCACGCUUUUUCAGUUCUGCCCACAAAUGUUCUAUAGGAUUGAGGUCAGGGCUUUGUGAUGGCCACGCCAAUACCUUGACUUUGUUAUCCUUAAGCCAUUUUGCCACAACUUUGGAAGUAUGCUUGGGCUCAUUGUCCAUUUGGAAGAUCCAUUUGCGACCAAGCUUCAACUUCAACUUUACUGAUGUCUUGAGAUGUUGCUUCAAUAUAUCCACAUCAUUUUCCUACCUCAUGAUGCCAUCUAUUUUGUGAAGUGCACCAGUGAAGUGCAAGCCUCCCCAUUUUUCCUCCAAACAUAACAAUGGUCAUUACGGCCAAACAGUUCUAUUUUUGUUUCAUUAGACCAGGGGACACUUCUCCAAAAAGUAUGAUCUUUGUCCCCAUGUGCAAUUGCAAACCGUAGUCUGGCUUUUUAAUGGCGGUUUUGGAGCAGUAGCUUCUUCCUUUCUGAGUGGCCUUUCAGGUUAUGUCAAGAAAGGACUCGUUUGACUGUGGAUAUAGAUACUUUUGUACCUGUUUCCUCCGGCAUCUUCACAAGGUCCUUUGCUGUUGUUCUGGGAUUGAUUUGCACUUUUCGCACCAAAGUACGUUCAUCUGUAGGAGACAGAACGCGUCUCCUUCCUGAGUGGUACGGUGGCUGCGUGGUCCCAUGGUGUUGCGUACUAUUGUUUGUACAGAUGAACGUGGUACCUUCAGGCGUUUGGAAAUUGCUCCCAAGGAUUUACCAGACUUGUGGAGGUCUACCAUUUGUUUUGAGGUCUUUGUUAAUUUCUUUUGAUUUUCCCACGAUGUAAAGCAAAGAAGCACUGAGUUUGAAGUUAGGCCUUGAAAUAGAUCCACAGGGUUACCUCCAAUUGCCUCAAAUGAUGUUAAUUAGCCUAACAGAAGCUUCUCAUGCCAUGACAUCAUUUUCUGGAAAUGUCCAAGUUGUUUAAAGGCACAGUCAACUUAGUGUAUGUAAACUUCUGACCCACUGGAAUUGUGAUACAGUUAUUUUUAAGGGAAAUAAUCUUUCUGUAAACAAUUGUGGAAAAAUGACUUGUGUCAUGCACAAAGUAGAUGUCCUA